rnacentral:rRNA from 1 species
UACGUAGGGUCCAAGCGUUAAUCGGAAUUACUGGGCGUAAAGCGUGCGCAGGCGGUUGUGUAAGUCAGAUGUGAAAUCCCCGGGCUCAACCUGGGAAUUGCAUUUGAGACUGCACGGCUAGAGUGUGUCAGAGGGGGGUAGAAUUCCACGUGUAGCAGUGAAAUGCGUAGAGAUGUGGAGGAAUACCGAUGGCGGAGGCAGCCCCCUGGGAUAACACUGACGCUCAUGCACGAAAGCGUGGGGAGCAAACAGG